UACGUAGGGGGCAAGCGUUGUCCGGAUUUACUGGGCGUAAAGGGUGUGUAGGCGGCCAUUUAAGUCAGAUGUGAAAUACCCGAGCUUAACUUGGGUGCUGCAUUUGAAACUGGGUGUCUAGAGUGCAGGAGAGGUAAGUGGAAUUCCUAGUGUAGCGGUGAAAUGCGUAGAGAUUAGGAAGAACACCAGUGGCGAAGGCGACUUACUGGACUGUAACUGACGCUGAGGCAUGAAAGCGUGGGGAGCAAACAGG
rnacentral:rRNA from 1 species